rnacentral:lncRNA from 1 species
UCAUGGCUUGUCAAUUAGAAAAUGUUUCCUCCCCCAUCUGGUUCUGGAGACUGCUUUGACCGAUAUGUAUGCAAAAUGUGGGGAACUAAGGUCAGCAGAAUUGUUAUUUGAUCGGAUGACCGAAAAGAGCUUGGUAUCAUGGAAUGCCAUGAUUGCGGCUUACGUGCAGAAUGGGAGGAACAUGAAGGCUUUGGAGGUUUUCCUUGACCUUUGCAACAGGCAUUUAGAACCGGAUCUCUUCACCAUCUCAAGCAUCAUGCCGGCAUAUGCCGAGCUAGCGUCACUGCGAUAUGGAAAGCAGAUACACAGUUAUGUUGUGAAGUCCAAGUAUGGAAGCAACACCUUGGUGUUGAAUGGCAUCAUAUAUAUGUAUGCCAGGUGUGGUGAUUUGAAGACCUCAAGAGAGGUAUUCGACAGAAUGAUGUGCAAGGACAUCAUUUCGUGGAACACGAUUAUAAUUGGAUAUGGGUUUCAUGGGCAUGGGAAGAUAGCAUUAGAUCUGUUUUCUGAUAUGAAAAGCAAAGGGAUUCAACCAAAUGAGAGUACCUUUGUAUCGGUAUUAACUGCUUGCAGCUUGUCAGGCUUGGUAGAUGAAGGUUGGAUGAACUUUAAUUCUAUGCAACAAG